UCUACGGGUGGCAGCAGUGAGGAAUAUUGGUCAAUGGGCGAGAGCCUGAACCAGCCAAGUCGCGUGAAGGAUGACGGCCCUACGGGUUGUAAACUUCUUUUGUCAGGGAGCAAUUGGCUCCACGCGUGGGCUUAGCGAGAGUACCUGAAGAAAAAGCAUCGGCUAACUACGUGCCAGCAGCCGCGGUAAACCGGAGGAUGCGAGCGUUAUCCGGAUUUAUUGGGGUUAAAGGGGACGUAUGCGGAAUAUCAAGUCAGCGGUAAAAAUUCGGGGCUCAACCCCGUCGUGCCGUUGAAACUGGUGGUCUGGAGUGGGCGAGAAGUAGGCGGAAUGCAUGGUGUAGCGGUGAAAUGCAUAGAUAUCACGCAGAACUCCGAUUGCGAAGGCAGCAUACCGGCGCCCAACUGACGCUGAAGCACGAAAGCGUGGGUAUCGAACAGGAUUAGAUACCCUUGUAGUC
rnacentral:rRNA from 1 species